rnacentral:rRNA from 1 species
UGGGGAAUAUUGCACAAUGGGCGCAAGCCUGAUGCAGCGACGCCGCGUGAGGGAUGGAGGCCUUCGGGUUGUAAACCUCUUUUGUUAGGGAGCAAGGCACUUUGUGUUGAGUGUACCUUUCGAAUAAGCACCGGCUAACUACGUGCCAGCAGCCGCGGUAAUACGUAGGGUGCAAGCGUUAUCCGGAAUUAUUGGGCGUAAAGGGCUCGUAGGCGGUUCGUCGCGUCCGGUGUGAAAGUCCAUCGCUCAACGGUGGAUCCGCGCCGGGUACGGGCGGGCUUGAGUGCGGUAGGGGAGACUGGAAUUCCCGGUGUAACGGUGGAAUGUGUAGAUAUCGGGAAGAACACCAAUGGCGAAGGCAGGUCUCUGGGCCGUUACUGACGCUGAGGAGCGAAAGCGUGGGGAGCGAACAGGAUUAGAUACCCUGGUAGUCCACGCCGUAAACGGUGGAUGCUGGAUGUGGGGCCCGUUCCACGGGUUCCGUGUCGGAGCUAACGCGUUAAGCAUCCCGCCUGGGGAGUACGGCCGCAAGGCUA